rnacentral:misc_RNA from 1 species
UCCCCGUUCUCCUGGGCAGUCUCUCCAGGCUCUCGGACAUGUCAAGGGUAGGUAAGGUUUUUCGCGUUGCAUCGAAUUAAUCCACAUAAUCCACCGCUUGUGCGGGUCCCCGUCAAUUCCUUUGAGUUUUAACCUUGCGGCCGUACUCCCCAGGCGGUCGACUUCACGCGUUAGCUUCGUUACUGAGAGUGUCAAACCCCCAACAACCAGUCGACAUCGUUUAGGGCGUGGACUAC